GAUGAACGCUGGCGGCGUGCCUAAUACAUGCAAGUCGAGCGAACAGAUGAGGAGCUUGCUCCUCUGACGUUAGCGGCGGACGGGUGAGUAACACGUGGAUAACCUACCUAUAAGACUGGGAUAACUUCGGGAAACCGGAGCUAAUACCGGAUAAUAUAUUGAACCGCAUGGUUCAAUAGUGAAAGACGGUUUUGCUGUCACUUAUAGAUGGAUCCGCGCCGCAUUAGCUAGUUGGUAAGGUAACGGCUUACCAAGGCAACGAUGCGUAGCCGACCUGAGAGGGUGAUAGGCCACACUGGAACUGAGACACGGUCCAGACUCCUACGGGAGGCAGCAGUAGGAAAUCUGCCGCAAUGGGCGAAAGCCUGACGGAGCAACGCCGCGUGAGUGAUGAAGGUCUUCGGUUCGUAAAACUCUGUUAUUAGGGAAGAACAAAUGUGUAAGUAACUAUGCACGUCUUGACGGUACCUAAUCAGAAAGCCACGGCUAACUACGU
rnacentral:rRNA from 1 species